rnacentral:SRP_RNA from 2 species
GCUGGGCGUGGUGGCCAGUGCCUGUAAUCCCAGCUUCUUGGGAGGCUGAGGCAGAAGAAUCACUUGAACCCAGGAGGCGGAGGUUGCAGUGAGCCAAGAUUGUGCCACUGCACUCCAGCCUGGGUGACAGAGUGAGACUCCGUCUCAA